rnacentral:rRNA from 1 species
AGCUGACCUUAAGAAGGACAUUA